rnacentral:lncRNA from 1 species
GUCCCUUCUUGGAGGAACCAACAGAAUAUGAACCUGCUGAUCUCUGAUACAUCACCAUCCUUGCAGAACCAGUGUCGCAAGUCAAAAGCACCUCAGACUUACAGAGGAUCGCUUCUUUUUCGACAUCAGAGGAAGGUACAAAAACACAUCAUUACUAUAUGGUUGGCAGCAGUACUUCUCUGUUUUUGCUUGUUGAAAUGUUGGCAAGAGAUUGGGCCUAAACUGAAAAAUAUGCAGCUGAGGAGAAGGGCUUUGUUAGCCUGCUGGAGCAGUUGUCCUCAAAAGCCCAAGACUACAGAAGCACCACGGAGCUGAAAGAGCAAGAGAACGUCAGGGACCUGAAACAAACGGGACGGUAAGAGAAAGUGUGCGGCUGAGAAACUUGGACUGCCGUGUGAGGUGGAGGAAGAGGAGGCGGGGGGAGAGGAAGCAGCCCGUGCAGAGGAGGGGAGCUGCACCCCCACGUGGUAAGCUGCAGUGGAUGCCUCCAACUCCAAAGCGCACACACUCACCAUGGGCAAGAUAAGGAAAUAUUCCCAUUCUGAAUUCACUCUCUUUAGUGACUUCCUGCUUAAUUAAAGAUUUAGUUCUGCUUAGAAGCAACGCCAGUGCCUGCUCUCAUGUUGUCUGUCGAUGGCGCCUGCUAGGAUCCUCAUUGCUACAGCUCCCUCUGUGCUGUGGUGUGGCCCGGGGUUGAUAUGCUGUGUAAAUUCAUGUUGUUACUCUUUCUUUGUGGAUUGCCAAACCGUGAAGACUGAGAAGCAAAUAGGACUUCUUCCAGUUCGAUUUGCAGAGUCUUGAUGUGAGUCUGUUCACCCCAGGGGCUCAAUCCAGUCCUCGGUGACAUCAGGGGCAGUGGCUGCAGGACUGGGUCCUGCCAAGGGUCCAACACCCCAGCGUGAUGAUGUGUGCGGGUGCUGCGACGCCCGUAGCUCCCAGCUGAGCUUCGUUGUGGGUUGCACCGUGCAGAGGCACCCAAGUGGGCCAGCACCUGCUGGUAGGCUGCCUGUCUUUCUAGUAUACAGCUUAUAAAAUUGUGGGUAGGUCUGUUCAAGAGGCUUUUGACAAGUUGGUGCUGCUAUGGGCUACAUUGGAAGCUAAGCAGUGAAACUCUAAUGGUUGAAACAGGAG